rnacentral:rRNA from 1 species
CACCAGGUUGAUUCUGCCUGACGUAGACGCUAUACUCUAAGAUUAACCCAUGCAUGUUUAUUGAAUAUAAAGAAAAGACGAACAGCUCAGUAACUCUUAUUUGAUUUGAUGUAUUAGGAUUCUAACUAUGUUAAAUUAUAGGUAACAAUAAUACAAUAAGAAUAAGAUCUAUCAGUUAGUUGUUAAGGUAAUGGCUUAACAAGACUAUGACGGAUAACGGUAUUACUUUGUAAUAUUCCGGAGAAGGAGCCUGAGAGAUUGCUACUAAGUCUAAGGAUUGCAGCAGGGGCGAAACUUGACCUAUGAUAUUAUAUUGAGGCAGUUAUGAGUAGUAUUUUAUAAUUAUUGUAGUAUUGUAAGUACAUAUUACAAGAUAAAUCGGAGGGCAAAUCGAGUGCCAGCAGCCGCGGUAAUACUUGUUCCGAUAGUGUGUAUGAUGAUUGAUGCAGUUAAAAAGUCUGUAGUUUAUUUAUAAUAAGCAUUGUAAGGUAUACUGUAUGGUUAGGAGAGAGAUGAAAUGUGAUAACCCUAACUGGAUGAACAGAAGCGAAAGCUGUAUACUUAAAUGUAUUAUUAGAACAAGGACGUAAGCUAGAGGAUCGAAGAUGAUUAGAUACCAUUGUAGUUCUAGCAGUAAACUAUGUUGAAUCAUAGAUAUAUUUUGAUAUAUAUUUAUGUAGAGAAAUUAAGAUUAUAUUGACUCUGGGGAUAGUAUGAUCGCAAGAUUGAAAAUUAAAGAAAUUGACGGAAGAAUACCACAAGGAGUGGAUUGUGCGGCUUAAUUUGACUCAACGCGGGGUAAUUUACCAGGUAUAACAUGAUAUAAUAUUUUAUCAUGAUAGUGGUGCAUGGCCGUUUCCAAUGGAUGCUGUGAAGUAAUGAUUAAUUUCAACAAGAUGUGAGACCCUCAUUUAGACAGAUGUAGUGAUACAUAUGAAGGAGAGGAUUAAAACAGGUCCGUUAUGCCCUAAGAUAAUCUGGGUUGCACGCGCAAUACAAUAAUAUUUGAUAUUAUAAGGGAUAAUAUAAUGUAAGAUAUAUUUGAACAUGGAAUUGCUAGUAAAUUUUAUUUAAUAAGUAGAAUUGAAUGAGUCCCUGUUCUUUGUACACACCGCCCGUCGCUAUCUAAGAUGGUAUUAUCUAUGAACAAAUUUAUAAAGUGAAUAGAUA